rnacentral:rRNA from 1 species
CCUACGGGGGGCAGCAGUGAGGAAUAUUGGUCAAUGGACGAGAGUCUGAACCAGCCAAGUAGCGUGAAGGAUGACUGCCCUAUGGGUUGUAAACUUCUUUUAUAUGGGAAUAAAAUGUGCCACGUGUGGGAUUUUGUAUGUACCAUAUGAAUAAGGAUCGGCUAACUCCGUGCCAGCAGCCGCGGUAAUACGGAGGAUCCGAGCGUUAUCCGGAUUUAUUGGGUUUAAAGGGAGCGUAGGUGGUUUGUUAAGUCAGUUGUGAAAGUUUGCGGCUCAACCGUAAAAUUGCAGUUGAUACUGGCAGUCUUGAGUACAGUAGAGGUGGGCGGAAUUCGUGGUGUAGCGGUGAACUGCUUAGAUAUCACGAAGAACUCCGAUUGCGAAGGCAGCUCACUGGACUGCCACUGACACUGAUGCUCGAAAGUGUGGGUAUCACACAGGAUUAGAUACCCGAGUAGUC